UACGGGGGAUCCAAGCGUUAUCCGGAUUUAUUGGGUUUAAAGGGUGCGUAGGCGGAUUGAUAAGUUAGAGGUGAAAUGUCCGAGCUUAACUCGGGAACUGCCUCUAAUACUGUUGAUCUAGAGAGUAGAUGCGGUAGGCGGAAUGCAUGGUGUAGCGGUGAAAUGCUUAGAGAUCAUACAGAACACCGAUUGCGAAGGCAGCUUACCAAUCUAUAUCUGACGUUGAGGCACGAAAGCGUGGGGAGCAAACAGG
rnacentral:rRNA from 1 species